UUGAUUCUUUAUUAGCGAUCUUCAACGGCGGCAACGAAGUCCUCCGUUCACAUAUAUUUUUGGUAUAAUUUCAAUCUGGCCAUUCCAGACAUUCCAAUUGCAAAACGUCAAAACCUACCCAAUCCAGUCAACUGUCAAAGUUCGGUAGGUGAGCGGUUUUCACAUUUCCAGUGACAGGAGAGUUAUGGAUCUCUUUAUCUCUGGUUGAUAUACAUAACACACUUGUAUAUUAAAAAUAUGUAUAGAGCAGUGGUCGGCAUUUCUUAGCACAAUUGGGCAAACUAAUAGCUGGAACAGUGAAAAACGUAGAAUUGUGGCCCGUGUCAGCUGAUACGACCUAUAUUAUGGGCCCGCAAUGCUCAACUUUUAACACAUUUUGCUCGCUAAGGAAGGAAAAGGAAGGAAGGGAGUAGCGCUUUUGACUGAUUCUGCUAUAACUUUACACGUACCAGAGAUAAAGAGAUUCCCAACUCUCCUGUCAAUGGAAAUGUGAGAACCGCUCACCAUAGAUAACGGCUAUGUUCGUAAAUGCAUCAUGACGCGCAUCAGCUGUCACUCAUAAUUUCUAUCAAAAAAUUGUUUACUGCAUUUAACUACGAUGUCUGACGAAAAUGAAAAUCUCAGUAAUGCGGAGACACAGUUAUUGCUGAAAGUACGGUUGAAUAUGGAGGACGAGUUUAAAUCGGGUAGAAGGAAAAAAAUAUAUUGUGGAAGAAAGUUGUGACCGAAGUUAAAAAUGUAAAUGAAAACAAUAAAAAUUAAAAUGAAGUUCAUCAGAAAAAGUAAUAAAAAAAUUAUUCAAAUAAAGGAAGGUGAGGUAAAGUAAAUUUUUUUUGAUGAAAACAG